GCCAGCAUGGUGUAGUGGUUUGAAUGGUGGACUAUGACUCUAGAGACCAGGGUUCGAGUCCCCACUUGGUCA